AAGUCUCGAACUAUCAUAAUGCUCACAAUGCGAAAUAGUAAAGUUCCGUUGUUUACUAUUCCGGUCAAUGUCCAAGUAGUACACUAAGUCAUCAUCUGUCCACAUGUCAUAAUGAAUACUCAAAGUCAAAUCUGAAGAGACCCACCCGAAGGCUUUCUAUGGCCCUGAGACCCACCCGUAGGCUGUCUGGCUGGUGCAGAGCCUAAUGGCCCCGUGGUAGUCAUCAUCCCGACCUUAGGAAUGAGCCUGUCCCACGGCAAUCCACUUCGGCGCCCAAUCACGCACGGCGAAUGUGAAUCGCGAUGGCUAUCUCCGGAGUGCCGGCUUGUAGGGAGCGACCCUCACAAGCAUGUGCGAAUGAGCACAAUGGCAAGUAGUCAAACGAUCUGUCGCAAGUACCAAGUCCUCAUGUCUAAUAACAUGGAAUGUGUCAAGUAUCUCAAUGGCCUAUCCCUAUGUCAUCAUGUCUCUAACAUGGAAUAUAGCAGAUAUGUAGUGGCCUAUCAAUAUGUCUCUACGUUGCAGUUUCAUAGUUUACUAGUUUCAAGUGCCUCUUUAUGACACU
rnacentral:lncRNA from 1 species